CAUUUUAAAGACCAGUUAUAUUUUCCUUGUAUUUUUACUCUUCAAAAUUUAGAUACACAAAUGUCAGUCUCUAAUUAAAUAAUAUUCAAUACCAUUUAAGUAUUUGAAAUUCAUGACAGUAGAUAAAAAUAGUAGAUAAAAAUGACAUUUCUACAUUAGAGAAAAAUAUGUAUAUGAUAAAAACCUUUUUUCUUGUAUGUAUGUGGAGAUUUAUAUUUAAACAGAAAAUAUGAAAGAAUAAACUACAUUACACGUUAUACCUAGAGGCAUUGGUUUGGGGUGUUUGGUCUAUAAUUUUUUUUUAUAAUCUUGCCUUGAAAACUAUCUAACUUUUCGACUUUAAGAAGCUUACAAUGUUUACAAUGUCCGAUUUGCAAAUAUUGAUAAUGAGGCCCAUGAUUUUUUACAUUCAAUUACUUAGCUGCCUAGUGAACCAGAAAAGAUAUAAAUAUUAAAACAGAGCAGAUAAGCAGAUAAAAAGCACUUACCAUGUCGGAAUACAUGCAAAUGUAUAUGUAGAAGACAAUAUUUUAAUUAUUAAAUAUUGCCUUCCUUCUUAUACAGCAAAUUUUUUUUAAAGAUCAUUAAUACAAAAUAAUAGCAAAAAAAAUAAAAUCCGUGUUUCAAUCUGCCUCGACCUAUGUUUUAAUUCAAAGAUAGGAUUUGUUUUUUCAUUAUCAUUCGCUAUUCAGUGUUUCUGAUUGGUCGAUUCAUUACCAUUUGGCGAUGUCAGAGGUUAACGUGACAAUGACCACUGGAUUUAAAGUCUGGACAACAGCAUCUAUUUAUAAGAAUGUAGACACUUUUUUUUUUGUUAGUAAGAACUACAAGUGACAGAAAGUAAUGAUUUUGAAUCUUAGGUGGAAAUUUAAUUGCUAAUGUUCCUCUGAAGGCUACGUAUCGCUUCUAACCUUUAAAAAAUGCUUGUUGGUAUGGUUAGCAUGGGCCUAGCCAGGAUUUUUUUCGGGUAGGGUUUGGGGGGAUUUUUUCUCGCCCCCUCCAUAUAUAUAUAUAUAUAUAUAUAUAU